rnacentral:lncRNA from 1 species
CAGGCCGCCUCCGCUCUGUCUUUGCCGCUCUCUGGGAAGAGAAAGAAAAAAAGAACGAGAGAAAAAAGAGGAGAGAGAAAAAAGUAUAAGGGCGCCUCCGCUCCGUCUCCGUCGCUCUCUGGGAAGAGAAAGAAAAAAGAACGAGAGAAACGAAGAGGAGAGAGAAAGAGGAAAGAGAAAAAGGUAUAAGGGUAUUUUGGUCAGUUUGCUGAAAAAGCGGACCGAAUCUGCAAAAACGAAAAAUGUGGCCCGGUUUUGCAAAAGUCCAAAAUAAGUGGAUUUUUUAUGCAAAUUGGCCCAAGAUCUAUACUCUCGAGCUUGAUUACAAAAUUUUUAUCAUCACUUUUUAAAGAAUAUUUAUUUUCAGCCGUUCAUUUUGUGUCCACUUAAUGGACAAGAGGACAAUAUUGGAAAAGUAUGAAAUUUGAUUUCUAAAUGCUUUAAAUGGUAUAGAUCAUAUUCAACGGUACCGAUCGUCGAUUUGAAGGCUCCAUCAUCGAAAACAAAUGGGUGGCAACGGUGCCGCUCGUCGAUUUGAGUUUUGGUCAAAU